rnacentral:rRNA from 1 species
GAUGAACGCUGGCGGCGUGCCUAAUACAUGCAAGUCGAGCGAACGGACGAGAAGCUUGCUUCUCUGAUGUUAGCGGCGGACGGGUGAGUAACACGUGGAUAACCUACCUAUAAGACUGUGAUAACUUCGGGAAACCGGAGCUAAUACCGGAUAAUAUUUUGAACCGCAUGGUUCAAAAGUAAAAGACGGUCUUGCUGUCACUUAUAGAUGGAUCCGCGCUGCAUUAGCUAGUUGGUAAGGUAACGGCUUACCAAGGCAACGAUGCAUAGCCGACCUGAGAGGGUGAUCGGCCACACUGGAACUGAGACACGGUCCAGACUCCUACGGGAGGCAGCAGUAGGGAAUCUUCCGCAAUGGGCGAAAGCCUGACGGAGCAACGCCGCGUGAGUGAUGAAGGUCUUCGGAUCGUAAAACUCUGUUAUUAGGGAAGAACAUAUGUGUAAGUAACUGUGCACAUCUUGACGGUACCUAAUCAGAAAGCCACGGCUAACUACGUG